rnacentral:rRNA from 1 species
UACGGAGGGUGCAAGCGUUAUCCGGAUUCACUGGGUUUAAAGGGUGUGUAGGCGGGUAUUUAAGUCAGUGGUGAAAUCUCCAGGCUCAACCUGGAAACUGCCAUUGAUACUAUUUAUCUUGAAUUCUGUUGAGGUGGGCGGAAUACAUCAUGUAGCGGUGAAAUGCUUAGAUAUGAUGUAGAACACCGAUUGCGAAGGCAGCUCACUAAGCAGACAUUGACGCUGAGGCACGAAAGCGUGGGGAUCAAACAGG